UAGGGAAUCUUCGGCAAUGGGGGCAACCCUGACCGAGCAACGCCGCGUGAGUGAAGAAGGUUUUCGGAUCGUAAAGCUCUGUUGUAAGUCAAGAACGGGUGUGAGAGUGGAAAGUUCACACUGUGACGGUAGCUUACCAGAAAGGGACGGCUAACUACGUGCCAGCAGCCGCGGUAAUACGUAGGUCCCGAGCGUUGUCCGGAUUUAUUGGGCGUAAAGCGAGCGCAGGCGGUUUGAUAAGUCUGAAGUUAAAGGCUGUGGCUCAACCAUAGUUCGCUUUGGAAACUGUCAAACUUGAGUGCAGAAGGGGAGAGUGGAAUUCCAUGUGUAGCGGUGAAAUGCGUAGAUAUAUGGAGGAACACUGGUGGCGAAAGCGGCUCUCUGGUCUGUAACUGACGCUGAGGCUCGAAAGCGUGGGGAGCGAACAGGAUUAGAUACCCUGGUAGUCCACGCCGUAAACGAUGAGUGCUAGGUGUUGGAUCCUUUCCGGGAUUCAGUGCCGAAGCUAACGCAUUAAGCACUCCGCCUGGGGAGUACGACCGCAAGGUUGAAAC
rnacentral:rRNA from 1 species